CUGGAGGAAUCUCUCUAACGUCUACAAGACUAUUGCUUUGCAACUUACCCUUUAAAAGUUCACAGGACCAGUCCGUUCUCUUGAGUCCUUUAAACAUUAGGUCAGUAAAAAUACCUGAAAUAAGAUCUGAAUGCUGAAGAAAUGUCAAAGAACACCUUAGUAUGUCCAAAUGCUUCAGAAUAUAUUUGCAUUCAUUUUGCAACAUAUUUAGUGCAGAAAGAUAUUGUCAGACUUUUCUACCACUGAAUGCUUCAAAGUUUACUCUCUCUGUUCCUGAUACACAUUGAGUCAUCAACCAAGCAAGGAUGCUGAAAAUGGUCAGUACUCUGGGUUCCGUAAGCCUUCAUGUGCUCGCUGAACUCCAGUGGAAGCUGUGCAUCUUCAGCAACCAAAGAAAAAGCACCUAUCAUUACGUUUUGAAUUAUGGACACAUUAUGUAUUUCAUACUGAAAGAAUAAUAUUAAAAGAGCAUUAUUACCAUUGCUGAGAGGUAAGUUUUAUU